GGGGCCGACCGGUUUCGACAGCAAGAUGAAUGAAUGAGUAAGCAAGUCGAGCAUUGAGUGAGUGGCUCGUUAAUCUCAACACUAAACUUCGCUAAACGGCGACAAUAACUACGCGCUUGCGGCCUAAUAUCCGAUAGGAAUUACGCCUAAUCUCAGUAGCAUAACUAUUGAGACAAGCUAUCUCGCAGGGGUUCUACCCAUUAAUUCCCUGAUCACGAGGUAUCAGACUUUUGGGUUAGUCAACAGAGUGCCUCAAUUUGUUGGCGAAACUUUAGAGGAUAAGCUAUAAGUAGGUUGUUUACUGCUGGUUUAUAGUCGAAAACUAAGAGUAAACUAAACUUGUAGAAGGCUCUUUGAUUCCUUGUUUGGACGAGGGUUCGAAUCCCUCCGGCUCCAC
rnacentral:tmRNA from 1 species